rnacentral:rRNA from 1 species
UACAGAGGUGGCAAGCGUUGUUCGGAAUUACUGGGCGUAAAGGGCGCGUAGGCGGCCUUCUAAGUCAGACGUGAGAUCCCCCGGCUUAACCUGGGAACUGCGUCUGAUACUGGGAGGCUUGAGUAUGGGAGAGGGAUGUAGAAUUCCAGGUGUAGCGGUGAAAUGCGUAGAUAUCGGGAAGAACAUCAGUGGCGAAGGCGGUCUGCUGGGCCGUUGCUGACGCUGAGGCGCGACAGCGUGGGGAGCAAACAGG